rnacentral:rRNA from 1 species
UACGGAGGGGGGCUAGCGUUGUUCGGAAUUACUGGGCGUAAAGCGCACGUAGGCGGCUUUGUAAGUUAGAGGUGAAAGCCCGGGGCUCAACUCCGGAAUUGCCUUUUAAGACUGCAUCGCUAGAAUUGUGGAGAGGUAAGUGGAAUUCCGAGUGUAGAGGUGAAAUUCGUAGAUAUUCGGAAGAACACCAGUGGCGAAGGCGACUUACUGGACACAUAUUGACGCUGAGG